GCUGGUCCUGCUUGGAGCAGGGGGUUGGACUGGAUGCGACUCCUGAGCUCCCUUCCUGCCCUCAUUGUCUCUGAUUCAGUGAUCAUCCUGCAGCCCAGAGGGGUUUCCCAUGAGGAGACAGCUGUACUACUGUAGCAAAAAAAAUCUUUUCCCACAUACAGGAUGCACUUUCUCCCCCCAAAAAUCAGCUCCCCAAAAUGAUGGUGCGUGUAUCAAAUGAGGAAGCCGAUUUUCUGCCUGGGGUUUGAUUCCUGCUCCACAGGGCAGCAGCUGUUACAUUUCUAUUUAGGUAGCGGAGGGAGUCAGUUGACUUAAUGGUUCAUUUUUCUUCACUCCCCAGGUUUUAACAACGCUGUCUCCUUUUUAGUGCUCUUGAUUUUGUUCCACUAACCAAGCUAGCCUUUCUUACUGCACUUUUGCUGUCUGCCAGCUGUUUCUGGUCCGUCUCCUCUUAUUUCACAGCCUCGGAGACUUUUUAGCUCUUUUCAAAGUGAUAAAUCUGCCCCCAUGGAGAUCAGUCUUCAGCAGCAGCUAGGGUUUCAGCUUUAGUACAGAAGGGAGGGUGAGUCCACUGAAGAUUAGGCUGUGUCCGUGCUUUAUGCAGCUGUAACUCUGGAAAGAUCUUUUUUUUCUCUUUCUGCCUUUCAAAAACAACGUGCGUAUUAUAUUCAGGGGAAUACUGUAUGUGAGAGAAGUACAGUAAUUAUGCCCUGAGGCAGGAGCAAGGGGUUUUCUUUCCAUCUGGGGUCUGAGUGCCUGAUGGUGGGUUUAUGGAGCUCCCUUUCCACAUGAGAGGUGCAGUGAUGUUUCCUUAAAUAGCUUAAAAUAUAUGGAUUUAUUCAGCUUAUUAUUAUUAUUUAUUAAGUGUGUUUAUUCAACCAGAUCCUUUGGAGCUGGGGUGCCACUGGAGACUGGAGAACGGCCUUUCUGUGCCCUUCCCUGCCAGCUUGUAGCCCUAAUCGCUCUUAGUUGGUCCCAUCUCGUCAUCGCGGUGCCGGCAGCUGGGUUACUAUAGCGUUCGUGUCGGCCGCACAAAAUGAACGAUCCCUGCCAUCAAUAUUUAAAGGCCUCGCCGGUCCUUUUGUUUACUCGUCCCUGUUUCUCCAUUUCCCCCGUGUAAUUGGUUGCACGUUAUCUGCUCUUCCCUGUCGCACACGUAGGAGUCUGAUAUUACAACAUCCUCCAUGAAUCUUUUAUAUGAAAGCAAAACAAAUGCGCAAGCAAUAAUUAGACUUUGUUUCGCAUGGCAGGAAGCGCGCCGUCGUUUCACCGGGGUCGGGAUCCAGCUCUCGGCUGCGCAACUGCUGAUGGCAGGGCAGGGAGGGAGAAAUUUUCCUUCGCAGUGCAUGUGCGCAUCUGCUUCGCCUGUGCAUGCGCUCUGUUUGCAAGCGUGUUCGUUAGGGAUGAUGGGAGCAUAGGAUUCAUGUCUGCCCCUUCCCAGCUCCUUGCCCAUUCUCAUCGUGCAUGCCUCUCAUACAGCCCUCUUGCUCAUUAGCAAUAGGCUUAAAUUUAAAUCUGCCUUUUUUUUUUUUACCCCCUGCCAGAGGUGCUCUCCACAGACCUGUUACAUACAUAUGGGUCGACUAGUUUGGCCCAAGACCAUGGGUUGUCAUCAUGUCCCUGGCAGAAGGUGGAAGAGGCAGGGGGUGGUGGGUAGGAGGUAUCUGUCCUGCCAGCGGGCCACUUCCCUGUCUUUAAUUGCAAGCAGUUGCUUUCAACCCAGCCCUGUUCAUCUCCGUACCCAUCUGUUAGCAGUCGCUCCCAUAGCACUGGUUAUCCUCGAUCUCCAUUUCGGCAUCCAGGCCACCUCUGAACAGCCAGAUUCUUGCUGUCAGCUGCUUCCCGUAGCCCUGAGCUCUGUGGCUCGUUUUCUCCUAAAUGUUAAUCAUGUUAAAUUUCACCCAUCGGGUCCUGUUAAAUGCCCCUGCCACCCUUGACCUUUGAGCCUCAGCCUUGACCUUGACCUGAAUGUCCCUGCCACACUUGGGGGGUUGGACUAGAUGACCUCCUUCCAACCCAAAUUUCCUAUGAAUUUUUUAUAGUUCAGUGACCUGGGUAGAGCAGCGUGUGCUCAGAGCACCAUGAGGAUGGACGGCCCAGGGGUUAGCAGUUAGGAACCCAGAGUCAGUCCCCAGCUCUGCCACCAAUUCAGCUGUACAACCUUGGGCAAGUCACCUUGUCUCCUUGUUCCUCUGAAAAAUGGUGCUCAUAGCUCUGUGCCAUGGUGGGGAUGGUGAGGGUAAACCUGCUGGGACUCAGACACAGCGGUCAUGGGGGUUGAUGUCUCAGUUGAGUUGGGCAAUGGGACAAGCUGCCCAGGAAAGUUGUGGGAAGAACAGGCGUCUCUCUGGGUAUCCGUGCAUCUGUGCAGGAGAGGUAAAACGAGCAGUGUUAAGGUCUUGGUUCUUUGUAACCACAACGGUCGGCUGCCUCUUUGUCCGCGCCAGCAAACCUGUGGAAGGAGGUUCCUGACCUGAUAUGAAAGGUGCCACGUCUCAGCGUGUUGCGCCCAAGUCGGGCGGCUUCUUGCAGCCAGCGUCUCCCGCUCCAGUCGAGCCACCUCCGUGCUUCUCCAGCAGCCUGUCGUUUCCUUGCUGCUGCUG